GAUGAAGAACGCAGCGAAAUGCGAUAAGUAGUGUGAAUUGCAGAAUUUAGUGAAUCAUCGAAUCUUUGAACGCACAUUGCGCCCUAUAGUAUUCUGUAGGGCAUGCCUGUUCGAGCGUUAUUGAGACCUCAAGCUCUGCUUGGAAAUGGGCGCUUGUCUUGCCUUGCAGACUCGCCUUAAAACCAUUGGCAGCUGAUUUACAAUGUUUGGUGCACAGUACAUGAGCCCAAGUGUUGCAAUGAGUGGCCCAAAAGUAUACAAUAGAAGCUUAACCUCGGAUCAGGUAGGGAUACCCGCUGAACUUAAGCAUACAAUAAGCGGAGGA
rnacentral:misc_RNA from 1 species